CGCAAUGCAGACCAAUCGUAGCAUUUUUUUCUUGCAGGAGUUUUGCUUGUACGUAGACUAAGACGUAGUCUGGCUGUCUCUAAGCGACGGUCACCUACUAAGCUGCUAAAGCAAGUAUAUGCUUCUAUAUUGUGUACAGAGUGCUAGUGAUGCGAAGAUUACAUUCCGCCGCAUGAUCCAGGAGAAGCUGGCCAUUCCUGCUGGUCUCACUAUGGAAUGUGUAGCUGUCUGCAUCCUCUCCCAAAUGAGCAGUAAAAUCACCGCAUUCUAAGAAACUUGGCUGAUGAAGUAGGCUUCAUUUUGUUCUGCUCUCUGGGUGAGAUCUAGUAAAAUCCAGACAGAACCAUUGCUGCUGAGUGAUACAUUAAUGUAACCUGUAGAUUAUAUAAAAGCAUAACUAAUUAAAGAAGAUUCAUUGAACAUUCAAUAUAAGGUUCCAUCCAUUUGGAUUACUUGGCACUCCUUUACCCAAAACUAUCUUCUUCCAGUCGGUGAAGAGCUGUGAAGCAAUGAGAGGAACUUGCAGAAGAAGAAAAAGACAAAGAAAGUCAUGGGAAAAAGUGGUGAAGGUUGAUCUCAGGAGGCUGAAUGUCAUAAACGAGAUGAAAGACCAGAAUAAGCAUUGAGGCACAAUACUACAGAAGACCUAUCAAACUAGAUAAGAACUUAGGUAAAACAGUGAAGACAAUAAUGAAGACAUCUUGGGUUUAACAGGUUUCAGUGAAAUGAAACCAAUGUUAACAGCUAUGGAGUAUUGAGCCAACAAGAUAAUUUCUAUGCAGUUGAUCACAAUAGCAACCAAACUUCCUUAAAUACACCCUUCCAGCUUAUAAAUCAUAAGAUAUACUAGACAAUGUAUUUUGCAAAGUGUUUAAAGACAGGAGGGUCAUAGCAAGAAGGUAUUUGAUUAAAGGUCAGUUAAGAGUUGAUUUAGGAUUAAAGGAUGACAGUUACAGUUCACUUAAGUGAUCAAUGCUUGAUUAGAGUAAAUUACUUAGAAUUUGACUAAUUAGAAUCUUGUUAAUUUCUUUAACCCUGUCGUUACUGUAUUUAUUUUGAGAUGCUCUGUGUUUCUUUCAGUUACUUUAAAUAUAACAAAGAAUUUAGUAAAAUAACUUAAUUAUCAUUCAGCUAGUGUUAGGAAUAUAAAUUGUGACGAAGGUUUGGUGGAAGAUUUUAUUUCAAAACUUCUGAAAACAAGACAUUUGUACUCAGAUCCAGAGCCAGUUUCAGCCGGGUUGGUAACUAAAGGUUUAAUAGAAUAAAGAUAAGGUAUAAGAAACUCAUUAUCAAAAUUGAGAGGUAAUACAAAGUAGAUAGAAUUGACAGUCACACCAAAUGGUUUGUGACAUGAGCUACUACAAUUGUCUGCUACUUCACACUAAACUACUGUUAAAAAAUUAACAUUGAUUCUUGGAUAUCUCAUAUUUACUAUGAAACAUAAUUAUUAAUAACAUAGCCAUUACAACAUACAUUUAGUGAUUAAUAUUAUAACAUCUCUUUCAGUAUACAGUUAUUAAUAACAUAUCUGUUAUUAUAUUUAUUAAUUUCUUGUAAUUCACUUAGGAUAUAGCUAAGGUAUAUUUAACAUUGGUGGCUGGUUUGGAGCGUUCUACAAAAUUGAUUGUUGAACCUUAUUUGAAGAAAACCUUUCAAGUACCUGCACAUGGUACCUGCAUUAGGCAUUUUACAUAAUCAGGUGUAUUUCCAAUAUACCAUACCAUGUUGCCAGCCUCCAUCUGUUGUAGAAGGUGAUGAAAAUUUCUUCUUUUCCUUUUUCUCUUGCUCUAUCUAGUCUUCCAUCUUCCCCUUUUAUACCUUCAUUAUGUUUGCACAUCAUAUGCAGUGACUAAGUCUAUUUGACACUGCCAGUCUUAAUAUCUUGCCUUGUAAGACUGUGUGUGUGUGUGGGGGGGGGGCAUAUACUUAUUUUAAUGAAGUAGGACAUACCAAUAGCUAAAUAAAUCAUCCAUAAAACUGUUGGAAUCAUUAAUGGUUCUAUUUUGAUAGCAAAAUUGGUAUAGCUAGCAAAAGAAACUGAGGGGAGUACCCUCAUUAAAUAAUGUUAAACAGGAUGUAGCUGACCCUAUUAGUCAGGAUGACUGCAGUAUUUUGUUACAAAAAUAUAAGACAAAAAAUAUUUUUAUGUUGAAUAACAAGAAAGAACUUAAUGGAAAACUUAAAAAAAUUCAUUGGACAUACCAGAAG